UACGUAUGUCGCAAGCGUUAUCCGGAUUUAUUGGGCGUAAAGUGCGUCUAGGCGGUUUAGUAAGUCUGAUGUGAAAAUGCGGGGCUCAACCCCGAAUUGCGUUUGAAACUGCUAAACUUGAGUACUGGAGAGGUAGGCGGAACUACAAGUGUAGAGGUGAAAUUCGUAGAUAUUUGUAGGAACACCGAUGGCGAAGGCAGCCUACUGGACAGAUACUGACGCUAAGGUGCGAAAGCGUGGGUAGCAAACAGG
rnacentral:rRNA from 1 species